rnacentral:rRNA from 1 species
UACGUAGGGUGCAAGCGUUAAUCGGAAUUACUGGGCGUAAAGCGUGCGCAGGCGGUGAUGUAAGACAGGUGUGAAAUCCCCGGGCUUAACCUGGGAACUGCAUUUGUGACUGCAUCGCUGGAGUGCGGCAGAGGGGGAUGGAAUUCCGCGUGUAGCAGUGAAAUGCGUAGAUAUGCGGAGGAACACCGAUGGCGAAGGCAAUCCCCUGGGCCUGCACUGACGCUGAGGAGCGAAAGUGUGGGGAGCGAACAGG